rnacentral:lncRNA from 1 species
UUGUAUUCAAAAUGGGAGGAGCGGGGGUGUACCAUCUGCAGACACUAGAUGGAAAGCCACUGCUCUGUUCUUAGAAUGUAGCAAAUUUGAAGAAAUACUAUCAAUAAACAAGUUAAGCCAUGUUUGUAUUUCAUUUUUGAACGGUUAAACAAGUCAGAUUGUUAAUGAAUAAUAAGCUGAAUUGUAAAUGGCAUGACCAAUAUAGCAUAAACCAUAAGUCUAAAGAACAUUAAGGCAUAAACUAAGCGACACAAGCCUUAAGUGGCCUAAGCCUUAAAGAACC